rnacentral:tRNA from 1 species
AUUAUGUUAGUAUAAUUAGUACAACUGCCUUCCAAGCAGAAAGUUUGAAUCGCAAACGUAAUA